rnacentral:rRNA from 1 species
UACGUAGGGGGCUAGCGUUGUCCGGAAUCAUUGGGCGUAAAGCGCGUGUAGGCGGUUCGGUAAGUCCGCUGUGAAAGUCGGGGGCUCAACCCUCGGAUGCCGGUGGAUACUGUCGGGCUUGAGUACGGAAGAGGCGAGUGGAAUUCCUGGUGUAGCGGUGAAAUGCGCAGAUAUCAGGAGGAACACCAAUUGCGAAGGCAGCUCGCUGGGACGUUACUGACGCUGAGACGCGAAAGCUAGGGGAGCAAACAGG